UACGGGGGGGGUAAGCGUUGUUCGGAAUUACUGGGCGUAAAGGGCUCGUAGGCGGCCAACUAAGUCAUACGUGAAAUCCCUCGGCUUAACCGAGGAACUGCCUGUCAAACUGCAUGGCUUGAGACCGGGAGAGGUGAGUGGAAUUCCCAGUGUAGCGGUGAAAUGCGUAGAUAUUGGGAGGAACACCAGUGGCGAAGGCGGCUCACUGGACCGGUACUGACGCUGAUGCGCGAAAGCGUGGGGAGCAAACAGG
rnacentral:rRNA from 1 species